rnacentral:rRNA from 1 species
AUACGUAGGGGGCGAGCGUUAUCCGGAUUUACUGGGCGUAAGGGGUGUGUAGGCGGAUCUGCAAGUCAGAUGUGAAAACUAUCGGCUUAACUGAUAGCGUGCAUUUGAAACUGCAGACCUUGAGAGUCGGAGAGGUAAGCGGAAUUCCCAGUGUAGCGGUGAAAUGCGUAGAUAUUGGGAGGAACACCAGUGGCGAAGGCGGCUUACUGGACGACCACUGACGCUGACACGAGAGAGUGUGGGGAGAAAACAAGAUUAGAUCCCCUUGUAGUCCACGCUGUAAAAGAUGAAUACUAGGUGUGAGCGUGAAAACCUUCGUGCCGAAGUUAACGCAUUAAGUAUUCCACCUGGGGAGUACGGCCGCAAGGUUGAAACUCAAAUGAAUUGACGGGG